GACGAACGCUGGCGGCGUGCUUAACACAUGCAAGUCGAACGGUGACGGGGUCUGCUUUUGUGUGCCCUGGGUGAGUGGCGAACGGGUGAGUAACACGUGAGUAACCUGCCCCCUUCUUCUGGAUACCCGCAUGAAAGUGUGGCUAAUACGGGAUAUUCUGGGUCUGUCGCAUGAUGGGUCUGGGAAAGAUUGCGCCUUUGGGCGUUUUUGGUGGGGGUUGGGCUCGCGGCCUAUCAGCUUGUUGGUGGGGUGAUGGCCUUCCAAGGCGGUGACGGGUAGCCGGCCUGAGAGGGUGGACGGUCACACUGGGACUGAGACACGGCCCAGACUCCUACGGGAGGCAGCAGUGGGGAAUAUUGCGCAAUGGGCGCAAGCCUGAUGCAGCGACGCCGCGUGAGGGAUGGAGGCCUUCGGGUUGUAAACCUCUUUCGCCAGUGAAGCAGGCCUGCUCCUUGUGGGUGGGUUGACGGUAGCUGGAGAAGAAGCGCCGGCUAACUACGUG
rnacentral:rRNA from 1 species